rnacentral:rRNA from 1 species
AUGGACGCACGGAUGAGGCUGAUAAUUCAGGCAUCAGCACUGAUAAGUGUGAUUCAGGCAUGGGUCAUGUUCAUGCACCAGAGAGCUGUUCGUCGGAGACCUUUGAUCCGCUAUGGUCCAUUGUUUAUCCGGGAACAGGAGAGGAUCCAAAAUCUGAACUACAUCUACAACUGCAAUGACGUCGAGGCUCUGUGGAUGCUUCGAAUGAAAAGAGCGCCAUUUGCCAGGCUUGUCGAGACCUUCAGGUGCAGAGGGCUGCUACAAGAUAACAUUAACACCAGUGUGGAAGAGCAAGUGGCCAUGUUCCUCCAUGUUGUUGGCCAUAACUAG